AGGAGAGAUUAGGAAAAAAAAACAUGUUUUUUGAUAAUAAUUUAUCAAACACCUUGUGAAUAGCUGUCAGAUCAGAGCAGUCGAUAGCACAUACAAAAAAGAGUAUUUUGCACAAAGAAGUCAGCAUUGAAAUCACUAGUGGUAAGGGCGUAAGUGCUUUGCAAAGAGAGUGCAUGGCAAUGCAAGCCUUAAGAAGGGUGGAGAAGGUGAACAAUAAAAGUGAAAGAAGAGCCGGUGGUGGCACAUGCCAGUAUAGAGGAGAAUGUAGACGAUGCUAGU
rnacentral:lncRNA from 1 species